UACAGGGGGGGCAAGCGUUGUUCGGAAUUACUGGGCGUAAAGGGCCAGUAGGCGGCCAACUAAGUCCGACGUGAAAUCCCUCAGCUUAACUGGGGAACUGCGUCUGAUACUGGAUGGCUUGAGUUUGGGAGAGGGAUGCGGAAUUCCAGGUGUAGCGGUGAAAUGCGUAGAUAUCUGGAGGAACACCGGUGGCGAAGGCGGCAUCCUGGACCAAUACUGACACUGAGGAGCGAAAGCCAGGGGAGCAAACGGG
rnacentral:rRNA from 1 species